rnacentral:tRNA from 2 species
GGACGUUUAGCUCAGUUGGUUCAGAGCGUUCGCCUCACACGCGAAAGGUCGUAGGUUCAAGUCCUACAACGUCCA